rnacentral:misc_RNA from 1 species
GAAAUGAGAGAUUUCCUAUAUGAGGUGACAGUGAUCCUCCCAAUCCUUGAGAGCUGAGGUUCAAGGCCACGACCCUGUCAGGAUGCCGCCUACCACAUGAAACGCCAUGCCAAUUGCAGAAGUGAAACGAAUCAUUCCAAGAAUUCAAGACUUGAAAUGAGUCUUGAAGUAUGGCUUGCUUGAAGGAGAUCAAAGCAAGUCGAUCAGUCUCAUUUUGCAAGCAAGUGGCUGGGUUGAACUUGAAGGAGCACAAGCACCACCACAUCAAAGGUAUGCAAAAGCUCCACCACUUAAUUGCCAUAGCUUCUUCAGGACUACGAGCUAUGCUUUUGGAUCAGUUGUAGCUCUG